ACACAGAAAUUAACAACUUUAGGUCACCGUACGGCCUUCAACAAUGAGCAAAGCCCAUACUGCAUAGUCAACAAUAAAAGGCCCCGAAAAGAUUAUGUAAAACAAUUCAAACGAGAGCACUAACGGCCUUAUUUAUGUAAUGUUCUCUUUCAUCUGCACCAAGCGGGUCAUUUCAUAGGUCGCCAUAUCUUGCAUACAUAAUCAUAACAUAUGAUUUUGGAAGGCGCCGAAUUACAUUUAUGAAUUAUAGACUUUUGACAAGGUCAACACAUUAUAUAUGCGUCUAUUCAGAUUAUAUUGACCGAGGACGAAGAUAUUUUCCCGCCACCUCUUAUCUUGUAUUUGUUUUUUGAAUUAGCAGGGAGUUUUGGCAAAACUGAGUCCAGAGACCCCUCUUAAUCAAACUGCUUAUAGAACCAACAAACGCAGCUCCAUCAUUUUCAAAAAUUCUGGUUCCGCCACUGGUCAUUGAAUGAGAAAAUCAAAAAGAGAAGAAAAAAUUUAGGUCCGUGUGUUUGUUUAUCUAAUGAUAUCUUAAUGAACAACUUCUCUAUUCAUUUUACAUCGGAUGACCGUGAGGGCAUUCAUGUGUAUUGCUGUCGCCUAAAUUUCCAUUACGUAACCUUCGUUUUGAGAUUGUAACCGAUCUAUAAACAUGAUAAUAAUAAAUACGCGGACA
rnacentral:lncRNA from 1 species